UUUUAAUUUGGCAGAUUUAAUGCACUUGAUUUAGGAUCAACUUAUAACUUAAUGUUAAUUUCAAA
rnacentral:tRNA from 1 species